GGAAGGAUGUCCGAGUGGCUUAAGGAGCACGCUUGGAAAGCGUGUAUGCAAGAAAUUGUAUCGAGGGUUCGAAUCCCUCUCCUUCCG
rnacentral:tRNA from 1 species